rnacentral:rRNA from 1 species
AGUGAACGCUGGCGGUAGGCCUAACACAUGCAAGUCGAACGGCAGCACAGUAAGAGCUUGCUCUUACGGGUGGCGAGUGGCGGACGGGUGAGGAAUACAUCGGAAUCUACUUUUUCGUGGGGGAUAACGUAGGGAAACUUACGCUAAUACCGCAUACGACCUACGGGUGAAAGCAGGGGAUCUUCGGACCUUGCGCGAUUGAAUGAGCCGAUGUCGGAUUAGCUAGUUGGCGGGGUAAAGGCCCACCAAGGCGACGAUCCGUAGCUGGUCUGAGAGGAUGAUCAGCCAGCUUGGAACUGAGACACGGCCCAGACUCCGACGGGAGGCAGCAGUGGGGAAUAUUGGACAAUGGGCGCAAGCCUGAUCCAGCCAUACCGCGUGGGUGAAGAAGGCCUUCGGGUUGUAAAGCCCUUUUGUUGGGAAAGAAAAGCAGCAGGUUAAUACCCCGCUGUUCUGACGGUACCCAAAGAAUAAGCACCGGCUAACUUCGUG